rnacentral:rRNA from 1 species
GCGGAAGGAUCAUUAUUGAGAUCAUGCCCUCACGGGUAGACCUCCACCCCUCUGAAAUUCUUAUCUCUUGUUGCUUUGGCGGGCCGCUUUUCUGCCCUGGGGUUGCCCAGGUGUGCCCGCCAGAGACCCUACCAACUCUGUGUUUAUGUGUCGUCUGAGUACUAUAUAAUAGUUAAAACUUUCAACAACGGAUCUCUUGGCUCUGGCAUCGAUGAAGAACGCAGCGAAAUGCGAUAAGUAAUGCGAAUUGCAGAAUUCAGUGAAUCAUCGAAUCUUUGAACGCACAUUGCGCCCCUUGGUAUUCCGAGGGGCAUGCCUGUCCGAGCGUCAUUAACACCACUCAAGCCUGGCUUGGUACUGGGGCUCGCACACCAGCGUCCCUUAAAUUCAGUGGCGGUGCCGGGUGGCUCUUCGCGUAGUAAUGCUCUCGCGAUAGGGUCCUCUGGUGGCUUGCCAGUAACCUCAAUUUCUUAAGGUUGACCUCGGAUCAGGUAGGGAUACCCGCUGAACUUAAGCAUAUCAAUAAGCGGAGGAAAAGAAACCAACAGGGAUUGCCCCAGUAACG